UGGAGGCAGCAGUGAGGAAUAUUGGUCAAUGGACGCAAGUCUGAACCAGCCAUGCCGCGUGAAGGAUGAAGGUCCUCUGGAUUGUAAACUUCUUUUAUAUGGGACGAAACCCUCGGAUUCCUCCGGGAUUGACGGUACCAUAGGAAUAAGCACCGGCUAACUCCGUGCCAGCAGCCGCGGUAAUACGGAGGGUGCAAGCGUUAUCCGGAUUCACUGGGUUUAAAGGGUGCGUAGGAGGACAGGUAAGUCAGUGGUGAAAUCUCCGGGCUUAACUCGGAAACUGCCGUUGAUACUAUCUGCCUUGAAUACCGUGGAGGUGAGCGGAAUAUGUCAUGUAGCGGUGAAAUGCUUAGAUAUGACAUAGAACACCGAUUGCGAAGGCAGCUCACUACACGAAUAUUGACUCUGAGGCACGAAAGCGUGGGGAUCAAACAGGAUUAGAUACCCUGGUAGA
rnacentral:rRNA from 1 species